rnacentral:rRNA from 1 species
GAUGAACGCUGGCGGCGUGCCUAAUACAUGCAAGUCGAGCGAACAGACGAGGAGCUUGCUCCUCUGACGUUAGCGGCGGACGGGUGAGUAACACGUGGAUAACCUACCUAUAAGACUGGGAUAACUUCGGAAAACCGGAGCUAAUACCGGAUAACAUGUUGAACCGCAUGGUUCAACAGUGAAAGACGGUCUUGCUGUCACUUAUAGAUGGAUCCGCGCCGCAUUAGCUAGUUGGUAAGGUAACGGCUUACCAAGGCAACGAUGCGUAGCCGACCUGAGAGGGUGAUCGGCCACACUGGAACUGAGACACGGUCCAGACUCCUACGGGAGGCAGCAGUAGGGAAUCUUCCGCAAUGGGCGAAAGCCUGACGGAGCAACGCCGCGUGAGUGAAGAAGGUCUUCGGAUCGUAAAUCUCUGUUAUUAGGGAAGAACAAAUGUGUAAGUAACUAUGCACGUCUUGACGGUACCUAAUCAGAAAGCCACGGCUAACUACGUG